ensembl:lncRNA
CGGUGAACAAAGACUGGGUGGGAGGCGGAGGCGGCCUGUUCCUCUCCACCCCGCCCCCCAGCGCCUGCUGAGCCGAGACUACAGACAUCGAGGCAGGGGCGGAGGAGCAUGGCUGGGCCCCGCGCGGCGCGGCUGUCCCCGCUGCUGCAACUCGGCAGCCUGGCGCUGGUAGCGGGCAGGGCCCCCGAAGGCCCUCUGCUGUCCCCAACCCCGCCUGGACGUCUGCGUGUAGGGAGCUUGCAGUCCACCUGCCCUCCCCCGCCAGCCCCCUUUCCUAACUCAGGAGAGCAGGAUGAGGUGAGGUGAUAGCGGUGAAGCUAUCCUCAGGGAGACUCCCAGGCUUGCUGAUAUCCAUGGCUACCAGCAGCAGGCACCUGCCCACUCCUCAGUCACCUGCCCACUCCCUGUUGGGAGCCCCCAGAAACAGUGGCACCCCUUGGAGGAACGGCUGGGGUGGCUGGAGGCUGAGGUGCCCAAGCUCAGAGAGCAGGUACCAUAGAGGCAGGGCUGCAUGUUUGGGGUGGGGUGGACUUUUGCAUACUGGGAGGAGAAGAGAGGGUUGGGGGUCCCUGGGGACCCUAAAAUAGUUUCACUUCAAAAGCACACAGAGAAGAUCUCAUCUGAACAGUCUUUAACAUCCAUUCUCUCAUGAGUGAAGAAUCUCCAGAGUAUUUGUGGUGUGUGGAUUUCCGUGCCCUUCAUAAUGAAGCACCUGCCAGGCACGGGGUGAGGGUGGGGACUGCUGCCCUUUCUGCCCAAGGAUGGACCUGUGCUCCCUGAGAACCAUGUGAGACGGAUGCUGACAGAAGGAGACCGGCCUCUGCCGUGGAGUUGUCAAAUUCUCAUCCUGACUCCGUUUUUGCACCUCAUGAAUCCAUGAGACAUGGAAAGGCUGAGCUGUAGUCCCAUCUCUUCCCCAGAAUGAGGACCUGCAGGCCAGAGUGAGGCGGCUGGAGUCCUGUGAAUGCCGCCCUGCCUCUGUCCAGUGCUGGGGGCUUGGGCGCGCCUGGCCUGAGGGGUCUUGCUGGGAGCCCAAUGCCUGCACAGCCUGCAUCUGCCAGGACGGGGCAGCACGCUGUGGCCCUCGGCCCGAGCUGCCCCACUGCCAACGUUAGUGCCACCCAAUCUACCCACUGAGCCACUUCAGGGCCUGGAGAUGGUGUUGGGCCUGAGUGCCACACUGUCUCCUCCUCAGGCUGCAGCCACAAUGGUCAGGUCUGUGGUAAUGGGGAGACGUUCUCCCCAGACACCUGCACCUCCUGCCUCUGCCUGGUGAGUUCCCACGCCCUCCCUCCAGCUCCCCAUCACUAGGUGCUGGGACUGGAUAUUGUGUGAUGGGUUCUUGCCCCUGGUGGCCUUGGGCUGAUUCUCUGGGGGUCUGCUGUCUGAAGUGCAACCCCCCCCCCAAGCCUCAAGCCCCUUGAUUUUGCCUUGACAAAGAGUGGCAUGGGGGCCAGAGGAUGUAGUUACUAUCUUCUUUCCUCAAACCCUCUCCUGUGUGACGAGCGCUGUUGCCCUCACCCCACCUCAUCUGCUACCUCACAUUUCCACUGCCUGCUUUCUGUCACUUCCUCCAUGGCCUUUUCUCCUGGCCUUUUCUUUCCUACUCCUCCACUGAGAAAGCCCUGGGUUCUCUUCCUAGGAUCUCUCCACUCUGGGGAAGUUGCUGGCACCUGGAGAAGCGGGUUCCAAGGGGUCAAGGGCUUCAGGAAUGGUGGGGUGGAUGGGACAUCUCUUUUCUGCCCUUGGGCUGGGGUAGCAUGUAUGCUGAGCCAGCUCAUCCUCUGCUUCUGGACACAUUCCUGCCUGGGGUGAGUCUGGAGUUCGGAAGGCCCUGCAGUCACCCUAGCUGCUUCCACAGGAAGGGGCCAUCACCUGUACCCAGAAGCCAUGCCCAAGAGCACCCUGCCCUGAGCUGGGAGCAUGCUGCCCACACUGUGAACCAGGUCAGCAUGCUACAGGCCCUGCCCUCCCUCCUGGUUGUGCCCUGGGGGACCUGACAGAGAGAGAGAGCAGAGCUGAAGAAACCCUGUGAUGGUGCCUGGUGAGUGCUGAGCUGAGCUGGAGCCAGCAAAUGCUGACGCUGCCCUGGGAUGCAUCAAAGAUUAUCAGGACCCUGAGGAGCUUCUGGUCUAGUUGAGAAGAUAAAUUUACAGCUAAUCUAUCACAAGAUUUAAGAUCCAAUGAACAGAUUAGGAGAUGUAGAAGACAUGGGCCAGGGAUUUAGCCCAGUGGUUCUGUCGCCUGCCUCGCAAGCACAAGGACCCGAGUUCAAUCCCCGGUACCAAAAAAAAAAAAAAAAAAGAGAGAUUUAUAAGACAGUGCAUGCUUUCCCAGAGGAAGGAACAGGAGGGCAGGGGACACCCAUCUGAGCAGGUAGGCAGUUAGGAAGGCCUUUGUAGCCCAGGGGUCAUUUGCACUGGAUCUUCAAGGGAAGGUGGGAUUUCUCCAGGAGAAGGAGAACUUGAGGUCCCUCUGAAUAGGAACCAGGCAGGGAGAAAUGUAUUCCAAGAAUCAGUCCAGGAGGGCCAGUGGAAACAGGCUGUGAUAAGCCCUGCAGUUGGGCUUUCUUCUGUGGGCAGUAGGGAACUUUUGAAGGCUGAAGAGCCAGAGUGUGACAUAUUCAAAUAUAAUGUUUAGGAAUAUUCAGCUGGUGUGGGCUGGAUGCAGAGAGACCAGUUGGGGGCUUUUACAGUCCUUGUCUAGGCAUGGAGCCAGAGAUGGUAGGAGGCUGCAAAUAACAAAGUGUUUCUAAAGAAUGUGCAGGGAUUGGUGACUGGUUGGAUCCAUGGAGUAAUGGUGGCCUUUCAUUUAAAAGAAAGACACCCCUUUAAAGGCACUUUAGUCCAAUCUGUUGUAAAAUAAAUACAUCGAGGAGCCAGGUGUGGUGAUGCAUGCCCAUGAUCCCAGCACUCUGGAGGCUAAGGCAGGAGGAUUCCUGUACGUUUAAGGCCAGCCUGGGCUACAUAGUGAGUUCAAGGAUAGCCUUAACUACUUAGCAAGACCUUGUCUCAAAAAAUUAAGAAUAAAUAAAUAAAUACAUUGUUUCCAUCAGUUAGACACUUGACUGUCACCUGCUGGAAAGGUGUAGUAAAUAUAAAACUCUGAUAGCUGGGUCCUGAAUGGUGGCCCUGUGAUGUGGCACCCAGCCCUCUGAGUCCGGUUUUGCAGGCUGCCCUGAGGGCCACAGGUCAGGGGAAACGUGGCAUCCAGAGCCCUGUGUCACUUGCACCUGCCAGGUAAGAGAAUCAGGGCCUCGCCCCGGCUAUCACCUGCAUCCCUGCUGCCCCAGGCCUGAUCCUACCCAUCCUAAUCUGGAGGCCAGGCCAGGCUUCUGCCUCCACCCAGGUGUUGAGGCCUGGAGCCUGCUAGGCCAAAGGCCUGAAGAGUCCUCUGGCUCGGGCAGUGGGGAGGGAGGAGGCGGGGCUGAGUGUCUUGACCCACAGGCAGGGACCGUGCAGUGCCAGGGGCCCUCAUGCUCUGAGCUCAACUGUCUGGAGAGCUACACCCCACCCAGGGAGUGCUGCCCCAUCUGCCGGCCAGGCUGUGAGUAUGAGGGGCGGCUUCACGAAGAGGGGGCCAGCUUCCUGUCCAUCUCCAACCCUUGUCUCCAGUGCUCCUGCCUGAGGAGCCUGGUUCGCUGUGUGCCCAUGAAGUGCCCACCCAGUCCCUGCCCCGAGCCAGUUCUGAGGCCUGGAGACUGCUGCCCAGCCUGCCAAGCCCACCGUACUGGCCUCUUGAUUUGGUUUGAUGGUGAUGGUGGGGAGUAAUGCCAGUCCAAGCCUGCUCUGGAGCUGCAAUGCCCAAGCUCAAAUUCUGCCAUUGCCACUUGGUGGUUGUGUGACUCUAAGUCACUCUGUGCCUCUGUUUCCGCAUUUUAAGGUGCACAUAGUGAUAUUCUAGAUCCCACAAUGCUGUGUAAUAUAUGACCAUUAUUACCUGCUUUUCGCACCCCAACACAGAAGGUGAGGGGAGUGACCUUCAGGGGUGACCACCAGAGGGCGACCCUGAGUCAUACACCAAUACUGUGAAACAAAUGUCACGGUCAGAAAUAAAAGCAGGGGAUAUUCCACUGCUGGGGAUCUUCCCCAAGGAUUAAAGGGAUCAUACCACAGUGAUAGAUGGGCGCCCAUGUUCAUAGCAGCACAGUUUGUGAUAGCUAAAACUUGGAAACAGCCCAAAUGCCCAUCAACUGGAGACUGGAUCAAGAAAAUGUGGGUUUUUUAUAAAAUGGAGUACUGCUCAGCCAUAAAGAAUGAGAAAUUAGAGACAUUUAUAGCUAAAUGGAUGCACAUUGAGGCCAUCCUCUUAAGUGAAAUAAAUAGGACACACAUAUGUAAAUACCGAAUAGUUUCUCUGGUGUGAGAAACUGAAAGUGUAAAUAAGGACUAAAUGUAUAAUAGGUAAUGUGAAAUAGGAAGAAAAGGGGCAGAGGGGAAGGAAGUGGGAGGGCUAGGGGAAAGGAUAGAAGGGAAUGGGAUUAAUAUGAGACAGUGGAAAAAUAGGAACAAAAUCUUUGUAAAUAGGGAGGAAUGGAGGGGUUGAAGGGAGGGCUGGGCAAGGGUGAAAAACAAGAACCAAGAGAGGCUAUGUAAAGGUGCAAAUUUCCAAUGAUGAAUGUCAUUAUGUUGCAUACCUAAAAUGUACCAAUGAUUAGAAUGAAUAAUCGAUAAUGUAAAAUAGGAAGAAAAGGUCCAAAGGGGUAGGGGUAGUGGGAGAGACAGGGGAAAGGAAAGAAGGGAAAGGAAAAACGAUGAGAAAUGGAAAAAAUGGAAAUAAAGUCUUUGUAAAUAGGGAAGGGUGGAGGGGGUGAAGGGAGGGGUAGGAAUGGGGAAAAAAUAAGAACCAAGAUGCAUUAUGUAAAGGUACAAUUCCCAAUGAGAAAGGUAAAUGUGUUGUAUACCUACAAUGUACCAAUAAA